UACAGAGGGUGCAAGCGUUAGUCGGAGUUACUGGGCGUAAAGCGUGCGUAGGUGGAUAUCCAAGUCGAUUGUGAAAGCCCCGGGCUCAACCUGGGAACUGCAGUCGAUACUGGAUAUCUCGAGUAAGGUAGAGGAAAGUGGAAUUCCCAGUGUAGCGGUGGAAUGCGUAGAUAUUGGGAAGAACACCAAUGGCGAAGGCAGCUUUCUGGACCUAUACUGACACUGAAGCACGAAAGCGUGGGGAGCAAACAGG
rnacentral:rRNA from 1 species